AUUGAACGCUGGCGGCAGGCUUAACACAUGCAAGUCGAGCGGGGUGAUGGUGCUUGCACUAUCACUUAGCGGCGGACGGGUGAGUAAUGCUUAGGAAUCUGCCUAUUAGUGGGGGACAACAUUUCGAAAGGAAUGCUAAUACCGCAUACGUCCUACGGGAGAAAGCAGGGGAUCUUCGGACCUUGCGCUAAUAGAUGAGCCUAAGUCGGAGUAGCUAGUUGGUGGGGUAAAGGCCUACCAAGGCGACGAUCUGUAGCGGGUCUGAGAGGAUGAUCCGCCAAACUGGGACUGAGACACGGCCCAGACUCCUACGGGAGGCAGCAGUGGGGAAUAUUGGAAAAUGGGCGGAAGCCUGAUCCAGCCAUGCCGCGUGUGUGAAGAAGGCCUUAUGGUUGUAAAGCACUUUAAGCGAGGAGGAGGCUACUUUAGUUAAUACCUAGAGAUAGUGGACGUUACUCGCAGAAUAAGCACCGGCUAACUCUGUGCCAGCAGCCGCCGUAAAAC
rnacentral:rRNA from 1 species